UUCCUCUGUUUCUUGGAUCUCUCUCUCUCUCUCUGGGGUUAAACCCUAAGAGGACCCGUGCUAUGACCUGCCCGUCCCGUCUCUCUUCUCUCUUCUGUUGGUUCUUGGAAUGUUCGAUGCUGCGCCUCUCCUUAUUGAUCCCCCAUCGGAGUUCUUUGGGGGUUCUUUCUUGGGAGUUCUAGGAACUCCAUUGGUGCCGGGAAGGAAUCUUGGUCAUCAACGAAUCCAAGAAACCAUGUCAUGAGAGAGAAAGAGAGAGUAGAUUGGCUGAAAGCAUGCAGACCCAGAGUUCUCCCACGCGCUUCUUCAUCGCCUUGUCCUCGUUGAUUACCUGAUAGAGCAGACUUCGGAGACGAGAGAGAAGUUUCAGGCAGUCGCGAAGCUGUCGCUGUUGCCCUGCUGUCGUUGGAUCCGAGGUGUGGAGAAUGGUUUGGAUGUUCCCCAUGGGAUACGCCCUGCUGCCGUUGUUGGUUCCCGCAGCAAAGACGACGAACAAAAACCAGACGAUCUGAAGACGCAGCAACUCCGGAAUCUGCAGGAUCAAUCGGCAGCUGCCUUGCAGCGAAAGAUCGAAGAAAGAACCAACCAGUAAAUCUUCCAUCAAAAACGAAUAUGUUUGUCAACACCGAUACCUUCUCUGCUCGUGCCCACUUCGGUGCCGGGAAGGAAUCUUGGUGGGUUCGGGACCUCUGAGACCGCAUGUAUGAUCUCCAUCCAAGAAAAGAUCUCGAAGGGCCCGGCGGAAUCCCCCUCAUCUCCAGGCCUUCUUGCCAUCGGUGACCUGUAUGUACUCCACCAAGAAGGAAGCUGAUGGUUGGUUCUUUCUAUGUCUCUCUUUCUUCCUUCCAAUCUUGUGGUAAUAUUGAAUCUAGUUGCUAUUCUGACGGAAACCGUUCAACGAAUGUAGUCAGACGUCUGACGAGAAGGAUUCGGAAGUAUGGCACACUGCGACGGGAAUGCAGCGAUCCGGAUGAUUAAAGCCUGGUUUGCCAUCUUCGCGUGAAGAAGCAGAAAUGAAGCUCAUGGCCUUGAGAGAUUUGAUUGGGGCAAAGGAGAACAGGGUCGCAUGAUCAAUUUGAUGCAUCGCUGAUAAACAACGAAGAUUGCCAGCACAAAGAUUGAACAACUGGAGGAUCAUAUUAAGACCUUGGCAAAUGAUCAAGAACAGCCAAAACAACCCAGGGCAAGAAAGCAGAGUUGUGACGGAAGUGAACAAUAAAGGAUCUGUAAGUUCAUCGUUUGGCACCGAGGUUUUCUAAAGACACGAUGGAUGAUACUGAGCAGACCAGUAGGGACCCUGUACCACUGCUAGGUUUGAAGCAAUUUUCCGCCGAUCCUAGUCUCUAAAUCUACGAUUUAAGUUUUGCCAUUGGUUGAUUAUCCUCUUCCUUCAAAAGUGGCUCAUGCUUCCAUUGGUCAAUUUUUAUGCUUAAAACAUGAAAUUCAAAAUGGAACUGGAUUUUUUUUGUCCUGGCAAUUACUUUUUGGCAAUAG